CGCGGCCUAUCAGCUUGUUGGUGAGGUAACGGCUCACCAAGGCAUCGACGGGUAGCUGGUCUGAGAGGACGAUCAGCCACACUGGGACUGAGACACGGCCCAGACUCCUACGGGAGGCAGCAGUGGGGAAUCUUGCGCAAUGGGCGAAAGCCUGACGCAGCAACGCCGCGUGAGGGAAGACGGCUCUCGGGUUGUAAACCUCUUUCAGCAGGGACGAAAUUGACGGUACCUGCAGAAGAAGCGCCGGCCAACUACGUGCCAGCAGCCGCGGUAACACGUAGGGCGCAAGCGUUGUCCGGAUUUAUUGGGCGUAAAGAGCUCGUAGGCGGUUUCGUAAGUCGGGUGUGAAAACUCAGGGCUCAACUCUGAGACGCCACUCGAUACUGCGAUGACUUGAGUCCGGUAGGGGAGCAGGGAAUUCCUGGUGUAGCGGUGAAAUGCGCAGAUAUCAGGAGGAACACCAUUAGCGAAGGCGCUGCUCUGGGCCGGUACUGACGCUGAGGAGCGAAAGCGUGGGGAGCGAACAGGAUUAGAUACCCUGGUAGUCCACGCCGUAAACGUUGGGCACUAGGUGUGGGUCUCAUCCAACGAGAUCCGUGCCGUAGCUAACGCAUUAAGUGCCCCGCCUGGGGAGUACGG
rnacentral:rRNA from 1 species